GGGGCGCUGGCGCAAUUGGUAGCGCGUCAGAUUCCAGCAAAAACCAAAUUGCCAAAAACCUGAAGGUUAUCCGUUCGAGUCGGGUGUGCCUCA
rnacentral:tRNA from 1 species